rnacentral:rRNA from 1 species
UACGGAAGGCAGCAGUGGGGAAUUUGGACAAUGGGGCAACCCUGAUCCAGCAAUGCCGCGUGUGUGAAGAAGGCCUUCGGGUUGUAAAGCACUUUUGUCCGGAAAGAAAUCGCACUUACUAAUAUUAGGUGUGGAUGACGGUACCGGAAGAAUAAGGACCGGCUAACUACGUGCCAGCAGCCGCGGUAAUACGUAGGGUCCAAGCGUUAAUCGGAAUUACUGGGCGUAAAGCGUGCGCAGGCGGUUGUGCAAGACCGAUGUGAAAUCCCCGGGCUUAACCUGGGAAUUGCAUUGGUGACUGCACGGCUAGAGUGUGUCAGAGGGGGUAGAAUUCCACGUGUAGCAGUGAAAUGCGUAGAGAUGUGGAGGAAUCCGAUGGCGAAGGCAGCCCCUGGGAUAACACUGACGCUCAUGCACGAAAGCGUGGGGAGCAAACAGGGAUUAGAUACC